rfam:Felis catus isolate Cinnamon breed Abyssinian chromosome E3, whole genome shotgun sequence.
ACCUGGGUGGCUCAGUCGGUUAAGCGUCCGACUUCGGCUCGGGUCAUGAUCUCGCGAUUCGUGGGUUCGAGCCCCACAUGAGGCU